UUGUGCCUCUUUUACCAAGAACCCACCAAGAUGGGGCGCGUUCACACCAAGACCGUGAAGAAGGCUGCCCGGGUCAUCAUUGAGAAGUACUACACGCGCCUGGGCAACGACUUCCACACCAACAAGUGCGUGUGCGAGGAGAUUGCCAUUAUUCCCAGCAAGAAGCUCCGCAACAAGAUCGCAGGCUAUGUCACACAUCUGAUGAAGCGGAUUCAGAGAGGACCAGCGAGGGGUAUCUCCAUCAAGCUGCAGGAGGAGGAGAGAGAGAGGAGAGACAACUACGUGCCUGAGGUCUCAGCCCUGGAUCAGGAGAUCAUUGAAGUAGAUCCUGACACUAAGGAGAUGCUGAAACUCUUGGACUUUGGCAGUCUGUCCAACCUGCAAGUCACUCAGGCUACAGUUGGGAUGAAUUUCAAAACACCACGUGGAGCCGUUUGAAUCUUUCUGCUAUGCUGUAAUAUUUUGAAUAAAACUCAGUCAACAACCAAAAAAAAAAAAAAA